GAUGAACGCUGGCGGCGUGCCUAACACAUGCAAGUCGAGCGAACAGAUGAGGAGCUUGUUCCUCUGACGUUAGCGGCGGACGGGUGAGUAACACGUGGAUAACCUACCUAUAAGACGGGGAUAACUUCGGGAAACCGGAGCUAAUACCGGAUAAUAUAUUGAACCGCAUGGUUCAAUAGUGAAAGACGGUUUUGCUGUCACUUAUAGAUGGAUCCGCGCGGCAUUGGCUGGUUGGUGGGGUAACGGCUUACCAAGGCAACGAUCCCUAGCCGACCUGAGAGGGUGACCGGCCACACUGGAACUGGGACACGGUCCAGACUCCUACGGGAGGCAGCAGUAGGGAAUAUUGCGCAAUGGGCGAAAGCCUGACGGAGCAACGCCGCGUGGGUGAAGAAGGUCUUCGGGUCGUAAAGUACUUUUAUUGGGGAGGAACAAAUGUGUAAUUAGCUCUUCACGUAUUGACGGUACCUAAACAAGAAGCCCCGGCUAACUACGUG
rnacentral:rRNA from 1 species